rnacentral:misc_RNA from 1 species
AAGUCUUCUUGUCAACAUUUUUCAUUACUUCAACCCUAAAAGUUGCAUCAUAUAACCUUACUUUUACCUUUGCAUUAUCACAACUCAAUUCUCAUCAUCCCUCAUCAUCCAUGCAUGGAAAAAUAUUCCAUUUUUCUAACACAGAUUCUGUUUAGCCUAGGAGGUGGAUAUUAUAGAUAUUAUAGGAGUCUAAGCGGAGUCAGGCAGCGAAGAAGUGCACCUAGCAAUCUAGGCGGAACACAGGAA